AUUGUAAUCCUGCAAAGACACCUAUAGUAGCUGUCUUCCAAACAGUCACUAGAGGCAAUUCUACUGCAAUAACAGAGUCACGCUUGCCUCUUGAAACUAAUGCAUCUCACAGAAAGCACUUUAUUAGAUAAGCAUGGAGUUUUGCUGCACAUGCAUAUCUCUUCCCAAAUGCUGCUCUGUGAGAAGCAUUGAAUUGGAUGAG